CGCCACUAGAAGAAUCCCAACGUAUCAGCCUCUUUAGUAACUUGAUAAUAACUAUAAGGUAUUUUUUGUAUCAUAAAAACCUAUACGUAGCUCAAGACGAGGGGUCAUCUUUGGCAACUGAAUAGGGUCAGGGGGGUAUCUCCUUGAUUAAUAGUUGAACAUGCUUGAUGAACUUAGGGACAUGUAUAUACAAUACCUCGAGGUACAAGCACUAAAAUGGCAAUUUUUUGUUGUGUUGUUCUAUGAUAGUGGUUUCAUCUUCUAGAUUAGGCACUGAAACUGAUCAUUUUUUUAUUCCUUCAAAUUUUUUAUUCAG
rnacentral:lncRNA from 1 species